CGAAGUUGCACCUCUGCUCUCAAGACCUGCUUCACAAUGUUCAAGAUUCUAUAAUCACAGCUCCACUGGCUAAAAGAUUAGUUUUUGUUUGUUUUUUUUCUCAAAGAAAUUUGCAAAAAAUGACAAGUUUUUUAUAAGCGUUAUCGACAAAACAAAACUAUGACAUUUUUAGAAAUUGAACCGUUGUGUCUCCUAGUGUUUUCUUAAAAAAAUCAAAAGUUCAAAAAAGAUCUGUAAGAGUGUGGUCCUCACUCCUCACAUGUAAAUUAGAUUGUAGUGUUUAUGGAAUAUAUAAUUUAUAGAUUGGUCCUUUUCUCUAUUUUUUUUCCCAUUUCAUUAUUGAGAAAUAUAUAUAUAUAUAUGCCAUUUUGAUAUGAAGGAAAUAAACAACACACCAUUGGUUUUCUAUAUCUCUCCUUAUCUUCAAAUUGUCAUUAUCUUUUAAUAAAAAGAGGUGCAAACUUUUUAUUCACUUUGUGGUCUGGAGAGCACUCAAAAUACUGUUUAUAUAAAAUGAUUGAAGAUAUUUAGAUCCAAGCACGUUGGAUAGGGAUAUGAGUUAAUUAAGAAAUUAGAAAGCCUAAUGGUGUUGAUUUAGUAAAAACAUUAACAACUUAAAUGCCAGAUAAUUAGCUGUUAACAGACAUACCGACAAAGAAUUUUAAGUAAUAAAGUAGCAUAAAGCUAUCUGAUUUGUCAGAAUGUAAAAAACGAGUCCAAGUUGACUCCUUCGAGCUUUGAUUCUCGUUCCAAUAAUACUUCCUCCACCAUCUCUCCUCCUCUCUUAGAUCUAAGAAACAGAGAAAACAAGAGAGAAAGAAUGAGAAAGGGAGUUCUAACUCCUGACAGAGAUCGUCAGAUUAUGGAACAUGAGUUGCAGGAAACUGGUUUUAGUCCAGAAUCAGAGAAAGUCAAGAACAAGAAUUUUGAAGAAGAUGAAGAAGAAGAGGAUGAAUCUGUGGAGAAGAUCUUUGAGAGUAGAGAAGUACCUUCGUGGACGAAGCAGUUGACGUUGAGGGCUUUUGUGGUGAGCUUUAUGCUUAGCAUCUUGUUUAGCUUCAUUGUUAUGAAGCUUAACCUC
rnacentral:lncRNA from 1 species